CUGGUUCUUUGUAGUCAUAUCCAAGUAUCGGGAAAUUCAAGAAGAAAUCUUUUCCUCUCUUUGACUCGCUAGGAGAACUCUAUGAUGGGCAUACAGCUGAGGGUACCUACAGUUUCACAUCAAUUGCACAACCAUCACAAAUUGACGAAGACUUUGAAGAUGAAAUAGAGGUUGAGGAAGUAAAAGAAAGUGAUGACUUGGAGCUGAUGAAUCAAGUGCAACAUGAUGAAGAUGACUUGCAAAUUCUGGAUCAAAUGGAUGUUGCACAUAGGAAGGAGGAUGUCAAUCCAAGUGAAGAAGUGGGUCGUACAAUGGCUGGUACAAUGGCUGGUUCAGGAAAGAUGCCCCAAAAGAAACCCAAGAAGGAGAAGCGCAAGAACAGUGGUGAUCUGAUUGCUGGAGCAUUAGAGAAGUAUAUAGAGUUGAAGAAAAGGCAAGUAGAUGAUGAAGAUACAUAUUUGGCCAAUGAAAAGGCAGAUGCAACAAAAUUACAUGAAUUCUCUAUCACCAAGUGCAUGGAUGUGUUGAAAAAAAUGGAGGAUGUGACCCGCAUCGAGAAGAUCAAAGCAUUCAACGUCUUCAAGGAUGCUGCAAACCGUGAGAUUUUCAUCGCCGCUGAUGAUGAUAAAGAUACUGCUGUUAUGUGGCUUCGGAGCCAAAUGUCCCCAUGAGCCUGCAGCUAUGAGAUCGUUGCACUGGCAACAAGCACCCAAUGAAGAAAAGCGCAGUCGGUGUUAGCCCCUUAGAUCUGCCAGAAAAUGGUUCAUCUCAUAAACUGGCAUUUUACCAGCACUCGUUUUGAGCCUCCUGCUGAUCUUAUGUCAUGUAAAAUAAAGCAAACUAGGUUGACCUUAUUUGGGAGUCGUUUUCUAUUUUCAAUGCCUACUUGUUGCA